UACGAGGGGGGCGAGCGUUGUUCGGAAUUAUUGGGCGUAAAGGGUGCGUAGGCGGUUCCGCAAGUCCUGUGUGAAAUCUUCGGGCUCAACUCGGAGUCUGCACGGGAAACUGCGGGGCUUGAGUGUGGGAGAGGUGAGUGGAAUUCCCGGUGUAGCGGUGAAAUUCGUAGAUAUCGGGAGGAACACCAGUGGCGAAGGCGGCGACCUGGGCAGAUACUGACACUGAGGUGCGAAAGCGUGGGGAGCAAACAGG
rnacentral:rRNA from 1 species